rnacentral:lncRNA from 1 species
AAAAAAGAAUCCGUUACAGAGCCACAGGCUUCCCUCAAAACAUCUCACAAGUCAGAUGCAGGCAUGAGGACAGAUGGAGAAACAUCACAGAGCCGUCAUUUCUGGAAAUUGACUCAACACGUAAGAGGAGCACUGGAUGAAUGCUUAGAGCAGAUAUCUAAAACCCAGGUCUAAUGCCAAGGAGGCGGUUGUCCCCCUGCUGUCUGGCAGAGGAUCACACUCAGAAACAGAUUGGUUUAUGCUAUGCUCAUCUGCUGUCCCUGUGUCUUCACAGAGGGGAUCUAAGCUGACAGAGCUGGGAUUCAGAGCUAUGCCUUCCAGCUCCCUAACACAGGCUUGAGCAGGUCUAACAUCCUGCUGUUCCUGUAUCCCACUUCAUUAAAACCCACAUAGUGGUUUCCAUGGGCUGAGGCUCACAUGUAGAUGAUGGUUCGUAACAUUUUAUGAAAGGAAGGUCAACCCAGAAAUGGUUAGCACGAGAAAUACUUAAGGAAGCAUGCAAAGGCUGAUGUAGCAGGAUGCUGACCAACAUAAUGUGUGUCUCCCUAGAGCAUCUGCAGAUAAUUUAGUAGUUGUCCACUGUGAAAGAAAUGCAUUGAAUGAAAUAUAUUUCAAACAACACAAUCGGAAGCAUCGUGGAACUACUCAAAUGAUAAUUCCUAUUUGUAUUCAUUGCCAUGAAAAUAUGCCUGUCAUAUAUUUUCAAAUAAAACAAACUACAA